CCUGGUUGCAACUGGGAUCGUUCAUAUCUCUAUCUUGUGUGGAGGGACUGCUGCAAAAAAUCAGAGAUAAGUAACCAGACAACCCAGCAGCUCAGAUGUGAGGGCCUGAGCUCUUGGUCAGGAGCCGUGUGUGGCAGAGGAGGAAAAACGUGCAGCUCAUUCAUGGGGAUGCUGCGUGGAGCUGCCCUGGAAGAGCCUGUGGGUGUUUGCUGAAUGCUUCGUAAUUAAGCUGAUUCUGGGCAUGCUGAUUAUAAUUUCAGUGAGAUGUGGAACAUCCUGCAAAUACUUGCAUAAACAUCUGAUUCCCAGGACACACGCGAGCAGGGAUCCUUGCUGUGCCAAGUACUGCAGACUGCAUGGGGCAUCCAUAAUCCAGC
rnacentral:lncRNA from 1 species